AUUUGAAAUUUUUUGAUAAAAUUUAAGUUUAUAUAGGAAAAUUAUGUCUGAAAUUACAAUACUGCAACAGUCCCACAAUGACAGCCAAGUCUAUUCUAUUCUGUGUCUUCCUCUUGCUAUGUACCAGCGGUAUUGAUUGCAUACCGGCUCCUGGUGCGACAACAGGGAACAAUCAAAUUAUAUCUCACGGGGAUGUCACUAUAAUUACAAGUAAUAAAGAUAUUAACAAUGGAAAUAUAGCUCUUAAUGAAAACGACUAAUAUUGUAAUUAUGUUUUAUGAGGACAUGCUUUGAUUUAAAUGACGAUUUAAGAUACAUGCCUUUCUGUAAUUUAGUUUUGUACAUUUAAAUAUAGGACUAUUAUCGUA